rnacentral:rRNA from 1 species
CUGGAUCCAGUGGAGAGAGAGGAAAGUGCAGAGAGAGAGAGGGAGUGUAGAGAGGCGCGGUGGCGGCUGCACUCCUCGCGGUAGAGGUAGGGCGGAAAAAGGAGGAAGCAGGAGGGAAAGACGUCGCGUUCGGUGCUGGAGAGGACACGCGGAGACAAAAGGAGGGGCAGCCCUGGUCCGUCUCCUCCUCGUCACGCUCGGUGCCUCUACUGCUCCACCAGCUCAACGGACACCGCGGUAGCGGCAUGGAGUGCCGGGUCGACCUCCACACAGCCGGCGUCUCUGUUGUCUCCAGAGUAAGCGAGCGAGAGAGUGGCGGUAUCCUCCUCACACGCGUCCCCCUCACCGCCCAGUUCUAGGCUUCUGCCGCCCCGCCGCUGGUCAGGGCACUCCGGGCCGCCGCUCGUCUCGAGGAAAACGACUCGCGGCUCCCCAGCUUCCCACGAGGCCUAGGCCUAGGCCCGCUCCACCGCCGGUACCUGCUCGAGCUCGGGCCCGCACACGGAGGACGAGGGGUACCAGAGCGAUGGCGAGGAGGGGGAACCCGAGACAAGCACCUCUCGUCGCCGGCUACACCUGUUCCUCCAUGUGUCGCUCGGCGGCUACUACCCGUGCGGCCCUACUCGAGAGACCGUCUUUGUGCGUGGUGUGGGCAGGUGGAGAGGUGGUGGUACGCGGUCUCCCUCUCCCUCUCGGAUCCGGGGCUCGCACCCAAGACUAAAACCCAGUUCAAACGAACUUCCAAUCACGCUGUUCGUGCAUAGGUCUUCAAAGAGACGUCUAUUCUGCGAAUCGUUACCGACACCCUUAUCGAGUUAACCGAUUAGGUACAUAUGAGAAACAAAUAGUAGUUCAAAUCAUGAAGAUACCUCAGCUUGCAAGAGACACUAAACUUUCUUUAACUACAGAGUUCUAGUUAAUCGUACCGGAACCUCAUUUAGCCGACCAUACGUUCAUACUGUUCACCUACUGUGAAAGUUGUAAAAGAAGAGGGCAGGUGUACACGAACAACCAGGUCAAGAUUUUUAAACGACGUUCCAAAGAUAUUAUGUCUAAUUUCUUCUUAGUCUAUGACCUUGAAGACUCUUGGGGAAAGGUUGGGUACAAACGUUUAUUUUUCGAACGCCGAACCCUCGUAGAGUCUUAAAAAUAGAGCUGGAACGUCAUUGACUCAGAGAUAGCCGUGUUUUACGUUAACUUAUAGAGUUUCAUUACCUCGUAAACUAGUCUCUCGGACGACAAAUGACCCUCAACCUCCCGUUGUCGCAGCUGUACCGUUAGCUCAGUGAGGACUUACGCCUCUUCGUCACAACGGACCGACCGCUACACCGGUCGUGAUCCUUCCUGUAGCAGCUCGAGAGGAAGUUCCUACCGCGGACCUUCUGCGAAUUGACGGUCUAGCAACAGGAGAGAUUCUCCUCCUCCCGGUCGAGUUCAUCUCUUACCGCAGUGGCCCCUCCUGCCGUCGCCGCACGGGCACAAGCGCCUCAUGUUGGAGCUGCUCGAGGCGCGGAGGUGGCUGCCGAAGCGUUGCCUGGUGUAGCAGAAGCUCGUGACGCUCUUCCUCGGAUUGUGGUAGAUGGUGCCCGGGAGAAGUCGAGACCGUGGUGGCAGCGGUAGUUCGAGAAGAUGGCGAGGCGGACCGGACUGUGUGCGGUUAAGUACCUCCUCCGAUCCCGUCAACCCGACGACGUCUCGCAAGCGAACAGGUUGGAGUAGCCUACUACGAUGUUCCCACCGCUCGCCGACGAGCAACGACUCAAGUACUGCGUACUAUGGAACCGUCGACACUAAGUAUCACACCAAUCCCAAACAAUUCAAAUGAUCGAGGAAGUAACUACUACCCAGCGACCACCACGAAAAGACGGCUCUUAAUUUUUUUUUUGAAUAAGGUACAAAGUACGCCAAAUACGUAGAGAAAGGAUAAAGAAACAAAGUCUAUUACCAGUACAAAUGUGAGCUCACACACUAAACACCUGCCGCCCACGUCAGAUAGACUUAUACGUUAAGUACGAAACUAGUACUCAUAUCAUGUAAGUUUUAAUUGUUUUCGUUAUUACGUAUCGUCGUCACAGUUAGAACAUCCGAUACUUUGACGUACAAACAACAACGCCAUACCUUUAAAUGGUACGACGCCGUUACCCCCAUUUGAGAAUGCCACUCCAAAAAAACACAUGGAUUUCAGGGCUCUCUUUCCAUCCCAUGGACUCCACUCAGAAUACGGGAAGGUACAAAAGUAAAAAACACGCAGAACUUAAAACAUAAAUUAGUUACACUUAACAAG